AUUGAUAUGCAAUUCUUUGAUAUUUCAGUGAGUGUUAUGAUUAUGUGCUCUUCUAGCAAUUAUCCUUUAAUGGUAUAUAGGACCCCAAAUCCCAGGCUCCAUGAGCAGCAGAGCAGCAGAGUGGCACAGCAGAGGAGAGAAGAAGCAUCUGAACGUGGUGAGGAGUUUGGCUAUGGACAGUCAGAAAGGAGUUCAUCCUGGGACGGCUGAACUCCAGGGGAAGAUUAUCUUCCCAUUGCAUCCCCUUUCCAGCUCCCUAUGCCACUGAAAGCCACCCUGUCACUCAAUAAAAACUCCGCAUUCAUCACCUUUCAAACU
rnacentral:lncRNA from 10 species